UCGAAGUAGGUAGAGAUAAAUCGGACCGAUAGUAAACAAAAAUCUUUGAUUCUAUGGUUUUACAAGAAAAAACCAAAUCUUGUUGAAAGUUAAGAAUAAUAGUAAUCCAGGGUUCUGGUAAACAUUUAAACCUGGGCAGAAUAAAGAACGAAGAUGGAUCAGGGUUUGGUGAAUAACACAAUGACUGGGGGACGAUAUGGUGAUACCGAAUGGGAAGCUAGAGAGUCUCAACGCCAGAGAGAGUUGGAAGAGGCCAGAGCAAGAGCUGCUCAAAUGGAAAAAACUAUGAAGUGGUGGUCAGACUGCACAGCAAAUUGGCGGGAAAAGUGGAGUAAGGUGCGUAAUGAACGUAACAAGGCCCGAGAAGAAACAAAACUAUUAAGGACAAAUUUAGAAAUGGCCAUGAAAGAAGCUAACUCCUACAAACGGGAGAAAAAUGACUUGGAAAUUCAAAUUUCGCAACUGAAGAAGGAGAUGGAAAAGGUUCAUUCAUUAAUGAUGAAACAUGCUGGGCAAUUUCACAAGACAGGUGUGGCUGAUACAGGAGAAGAAUCAGAGUCGAAUAUACGCGAUGCUAACAAUUCACCUGACAUCUCUUCUGAUGGCUUGAAAAAUGUCAACAGCGAGGAUGGUUUGGUUACAAAAGCUGCAGGAGGAGAUUUGAAGGAUUUAGAUAUCGAAGAGUUUAUUCUCAAGGGUGCUGUACCUAAAAUCAUAACGGAUAUGGAUGAGGUUUCUGCAGAGGAGAAGCGUUUGAUACAGCAGCUUUCAAAGGAUGACUUUGAUGAGGAUUACUUGCUGCAGAAAAUAUCCAUGUUGCAACUUAGGCUUGAUGAAGCACAAAAGACGGUGCAAGCAGAAAGGGAUGAAAAGCAUGUUCUGCACAAAAACAUAGAGAAGUUAUCGUUGGAAAUUCAGGAAGUACGAGAUCGUCAGGAAGAACUAAGAGCUGCAAAACAGGAAGCCGUUCGUGAGUUACUAACUUUGCAGGAAUCACACCGGGCUGAGAUGAGAAUUAUAAACAAUUCAUUGGCAGAAGAAGUUUCAUCUCGUGAAAACUUAGAACGACGUUUAGGUGAGCUACGCACAGAGUUAGAAAGACUUCAGGCUGAAAAUGCUUCGGAAUGGGGCAAAAGAGAACGUUUGGAAACUGAAAAGUUGGGAUUGGAGCGCGAUAACAAAAAACUACGCACAGAAAUACGUGAUUUACAAGAUAGGUCUGACCGUAAAGGUCGACCCUUGCCGGCAACUGAUGUUGAAGUUCGCGCUCUGCAACAGGAAUUAUCCGAACGCGCUAAAGAAUUAAGUGAACUUAAAAGCUCACAUUCAAAAUUGAAAAAACUUUUAGCGGAAACUAAUACAGAGUUGGGUCACGCCGUAAGACGGGCUGAGCAAUAUGAAGCGGAGGUAAAACGCUUACGCCAACGAGUAGAGGAACUAAAGCGUGAAUUAGCGUCGGCUGAAGACGAACUAGAUUCUGCCGUUAACCAAGUGAGACGUUUACAACGAUCCAAUGAUGAGCUGGUUGGUCAAAGUGAGGGAUUGCAAGUGCAAAUACAACAUCUUCAAACAAGACAUAUACCGAGUCCCCAAUUGCGUGGUGGUGGAAGUUUUAAUGGCGUUCAGCUACGCAGCAAAAUUGCGGUUGAAAUACCGAGCGAAUGCUUGCCCAAUAUUAAUGAUCUGCGUCAGAUAUUCGAUGAUGGACCUUCUCAAAUUAGUGUUGGGCUUCGUCAUUCCACCGGUGGCGAGGCUUCGUCCAAACGAUCAAGCCACACUGAACGUACUCUGUUGCAACAGCAACAAUCUAGUAAUUUUUUUGACGCUAAGACAUCGCAUGUCGAAGAGAACAUUUUCGAAUCAAAAAGCCGCAAUUUGGAAUUUGAAAGGGCCAAACAGAAAUUUGAUAAUCCAUCGCAUUUACAUCACCAACAUCAUCACCACCAGCGCGAACAACGUGAACGAUCGUCCGGAAGACAUGGUGGUGGGCAAAACUCCAAUGGCGGUGCCGGCAGCUGCAACGGUAGCGGUGGCAAUCAGUUAAAUACUCCCAACAAUCGGGCAAAUUUGGCGUUGCCUUUGAAGUCGAGCACUGCUAUUGGCGGCAACAACAUGGCUAAUUCAAAUUCACCUAAUUUGAACACAAAUUCAUCAAAUCUUUCGAAAGACGACAUUAAUCGUCAAUUAUUCGAAGACCAUUCGCGUUCUUCGACUGUUGGUGGUACUGGUGUUGGUGGCGUAAAUGCUGACUCAAAAUUCUAUCAAAAAGAUAAUAUAAAUUCGGCUCCUUCUGGAAAUUACUCCAGGAACAGCAUUAAUCUAGAUGGUCUUAAAGUAUCUGACGAUGAGGUAAGUUCAACCCCUAAUAAUUGCUAUAGUAGGAACAAGAAACAAAAAUUGGCUGGUUUGUGCGUACGGUAAUACUUUUAAUAUGUUUUUUUAUUUUAUACGGGUAUAUAAGUAUAUGUGGUUUUAAUUUUGUUUGCUUUGUUUUGUUUGUUUUUUAUAUAAAUAAAAAAUUGCUUAUCUGAUCUGAUAUUUACUCCGUAAUUAUGGAUCAACAAGUCUUCUACUCGACGAAGAAACAGAAGGAAACAGUGAAUAAAGGUGCAGGCUCUCACCUACAUCCAGCCCUCUCCAACAGUUUAAAAGAAAGUAGAAACAAUAUGAAAUGAAUUGCCUAACUCAGGCAAAUGCAAAUAACAAUUCCUUGUAUUCUUUUAAGUAUUAUACAACUCAUUCAUAAUUAUUGUAAGUGCAUUUUUCGUUCUCAUCCGUCAUUAGUCUCGUCAUCCUUUUUUACUAUACACUGACUCAACUCAAAAUUUAAAUGUGCAUGUAUUUAAGUAUGUCAAAUAUAAUGCAAAUGCAUUUUAAACGUAUUCAAAAAAUAUGUAUUGGAACCAAUUCGAAGUAAACUUAUGAAUUAUAAAAUAUAUAACAUAACAAAACAAUA